AGAAAAAAAUAGCUCAGCCGCCCGCACCACCCUGCCUCCUCGAUCCAUCUCCACCUCCAGCCGCCGCCACCUCCUGCCCCGCCCUGCCUCACCGCACCCCUCCCGACACCGCCGUGCGCCGCCCGUCCCCGACACCGCCACCUCCUGCCCCGCCCCGCCCCGCACCCCCUGCCGCCUCCACCUCCCGCCCCGCCCCGCCGCGCGCCGCCCCUUGAACUUCGUCGACGGCCGAAUCCAGGAUAGUGGCGGCGGGACCUUGCAAGGCGUUAGGGGUUCUCGGGGGCGGCACCAUGGUUGCUCUGGCGUGCUGCUAGAAGAGAAGGAGGGAGGACGAGGGAGAGGGAGAGAGAAAACUGGGAGAAAGGAGAGAAACGAGGGUAGGCACGGGCUCCCAGGGGGAGAUGGACGAGGACGAGGAUGGUCUGGUGCGCUGCUGGUGCAGGGAGGGCAGUAGCUGCUAAUUUCAUGUGGAGGACACGCAGGGGCGGACGGCGAGCGAAUUGAAUCUGGACAUUCACCCAGGGAAGCAACAUAUAUCUUCUGAUCUUUGUCUUGCCUCCGGUGCAAUUUCAGUUUGUCCAGUAGUGCUCUUGACAAAUUUCUAGAAUGAAGAAUGAAAUACUUGGAGAUAGGCCACCAAUUCGGUGUUGAACUCAGGUUUACACAUUGGUGCACAUGAUGUGUCAAUCAAACAUACUAUAGCCCUCAUAUAAUGGCUACUGCUGUUUGCAAAGUAAGAAUCGAAUGAUGCAAAGAGAUUUAUGCUGUAGAAGAACUUACAAGGUAGUCUCCGAAGCCCUUUCAUUUGAAUUUGACGAAAUUCACAACCACAUAGGUCACACACAAUUUAAGCCUCCAUGGUAUUAAAUAUGCCAUGUCUGUCAGUCCUCUGUUUAGAAAUGUUUUAGUCACAUAUUCUUAUGUAUUACGGUAUGACAAAAAUAGAACUUCAGGCCGUUGUUAACCGUGUUUCUCCUUUGUUUUGGUCUUCUCUUAAUUUGUUUGUUUGCUUCAGGAUGCCCCUAAUUUUCUAACAAAUGCAUGUGAGUAAAGAUUACAAUGGCUCAAAUAGCAUGUAGAUUUAAUAAACCGAAUAAUUGAUUGUUGGUGUUGUUUUACUGAUUAGCUUAGAAGCAGAGACUUAGCAUAGGGGACUGCCGCUUGAAGAGAUGCAAAUGUUGCAACUUCACCAGAGGUUCUAUGUUGGAAGUUGUGUGUGUCGGUGGUUCAAGGUUCUUUCCCUUAUCCUAUUUUUCUCUCUGCAGUUUCUGUGUAAUAUAUGAUUUAUUCGUUCUAAAAGUUGUAUGGUAACGGGCGAGCCUAAUCUGAAAAUAUAUCAGGAAAAAGCAUGUAAGCUGAAGCCUGGAAAAAUGCAUUAUGAAAAAUGCCUUGAUAUUCAGUAGCAGUAGUGAGAACAUGUAUAUAUUCUGAUGGUGAAUUUUUUUAGAUAUACAGUAGCAGUAGCAGUAGAAAUGCGCUAGGGGAUGUGAACGCCAUAGAAAUAGCAGAGGCCUACCUUGAUAUCUGAAAAACACCUUGAUAUUCAGUAGCAGUAGCAGAAUGAAAUGCUCCAGGUUUUCUGUUAUAUAGUCCUUUUGCCCUGUGUUUAAUUAUUACAUGCGCUGCACACUGAUCCAUGUAUAUAUUCUGUUGGUGAAAAGUUUUGACUAUCGAGUUUCGUCAGAUAUGAGUUUUAGAAAUUCUCAGUUACUUUUCUAUGCCUACAUUCAUCUCUGAACCGUUGUGAUGGAGAUUGUAAUAUUGUGCUUAAAAUAUGUCAGUCCAUGUGCGAGAUCUUCUUUUCAAGAUGGCAACCAUGAUUGUAUCAGAUAUGUGUAAUUAAUGUGUUUGCAUUAGAGCUUUCAUAGGGAAAUUGCAUAAGUUCUUAUAAAACCAUCUUGUCACAGUCUGAAUGGCAGCUGCAAGUGCCAGGUAGCAGCUUGCACUAGGUUGAUUUGAAUAGUUACUCUUCUUUUGCAUUGGUACUGAAACUUGGCAGUUCACAAGGAUUGGCACCAUGGACUGGAGAAUUGUGGCAAACAACAUGGACACACCAGGGGCAGGGGCUGCAUGCUGCCAAGUCCAAGGCGACUGCGAAGAAGACUGGGCUCGAUGUAGUGACCGAGGAGGCGCAGGUCGCAGGAAACAGAGAAGCUGAUUAUUCUGUUUGCAUGACGGGUAUCCCAAAUUCUAAUUCAAACAUUAGUGAUGAUAUAACAAUGUCGUCUGCCAAAUUGUGAUUCGAGCGAGCCUAGCUUAGCUGGGAACCACCGGAGAUUGUGUGGUGCACGGGAGACAGAGUCUCCACCGGAUAUUUUGUCGUGCCCACUAACAACAAUGACAUGGAUAGUGAAGUCAUUGCUGGACAUGAUUGCAUUAUUUUUAAUCUGUUGGGUAGUCCUAUUUGGUGGAUUGUAUCUUCAAUAUAUCCGAUCUUUCUCUACAAGGAGCCUACAGUUUGUAAUGUUGUAUUUCUAAAGAAACCCUGGCAUCAGUUGAAAUUGUUAUCUUAAUCCGCUGCAAAAUAUGUAAUCUUGUUUUUGUCUUGAUGAUAUGAAGAGGAUGGAUGUAUUGUUGUGGCAUCUUAAAAUUAAUAGUGAUCUCGAAGUUUUCUUACAAUACAAUGCAUUGUGGUAAUCCAAGAUUGUGGCGUCUGAUUUGUUUUGUCUUGGCAAUGGAACCGCCAUUCCGAUCAUUUUAAAAAAAGAGGAUAGGUGUGUGAUUGUCAGAGUAACCACACCACAAAGAAAAGAAAGUGGC